AGUUUUGAUUUAAAAAGAUCGAUAAACAAUAAAUUACAAAUACUUAAUAACUCCGAUUUUUAUGGAAUAUAAUGUUCAUUUCAGAACCUUAAGCUUAUGAAUUAGUGUUACAUGUUUUUACGAUUUUACCUACUGUGUAAAUGCCAUCUCAAUAUGGAUAUGAGUUUACUUGACACAGUCUUGACUACAUUUGGUGUUUUAUUAACCAUGGCUUUAUUAAGCUGUCUUUGCUGUUUGUGUAUGAAAUUCAGUGACCUAAAAAUGCAACGCUACAUAUUAGAAUUGGCAAAACGGAAGGGAGUACAUAUUGAUGUUGAAAAAUUAAGUCCAAAAUACAGUACACAAUCACCAUUGGCGAAGGAGAAUUGUACUAUUAUUAUCCCUGAUGUUGCUAUUAUUCUAUAGUAAAAUAGCAACAUUGUGACAGGUUUUCAAAUUUAACAAUACUAAUACUAGUACAUACUAGUACAUAAGUAUCACUAGUACACAAUGUAUAUGUGCUAACAAUUAUCUAAUUUGUGUUAUUCUUGAAAAAUGCACAGAAAUAUUGUAACUUUUUUAUAUUGACUUGCAGAACAAACUAUCUAGAAAUAAAACAGAUUCAUAUUCACUCAGCCUACAAUCUGCUUGACUAUGAAACAAAUCUUACAAUUCCUUUAUUUAGUCAAAUAAAAUGCCUCACAUUUGACAGAACUGACAUUUUCCAAGCGAUGUAAAAAGUAGUGUACAGUAAGGACCGCAUGGAUUGGUGGCAAGAAUGUAAGCAUUUCCUCCUUUGAAUCGCAAUUACGAUUCUUUCUUAGACAAAAAUGAACCAGCCCUACUGUAUAAGUUAUGUAUUAAAAUACAACUAAUAUGUUAUUUUAUAAAUGUUAUUAAAACUAAUAUUUUAUAGAAACCUCCUGUUUCUUAAGGUAAAUAGUUCAAAUGUACCAAAGAUAUUUAUUAAGAUGGCAUAGAAUUUUAAAUUUAUAGUCUGUAUUGCCUUAGAAUGUGUCUUCUUAUUAGAAUAAGCUUCAGUUUAUCUUAAAAACACAGUAUUUAAAAAUAAAUCAAGUAAUACUGCAGUUAUUUAAGCUUGUGCCUCAAUUUUCUCAAUUUUUGAUGUAUUCAUAUACAAUAUUUUAUAACAGAUAACUGAUUCUUAUAAACUGUAGGUGGUCUAGUAAUAUAGUGAAU